UGCGUAGGGGGCAAGCGUUGUCCGGAAUCAUUGGGCGUAAAGCGCGCGUAGGCGGCCCGGUAAGUCCGUUGUGAAAGUCAAAGGCUCAACCUUUGAACGCCGAUGGAUACUGCCGGGCUAGAGUCCGGAAGAGGCGAGUGGAAUUCCUGGUGUAGCGGUGGAAUGCGCAGAUAUCAGGAGGAACACCAAUAGCGAAGGCAGCUCGCUGGGACGGUACUGACGCUGAGGCGCGAAAGCGUGGGGAGCGAACAGG
rnacentral:rRNA from 1 species